CAGCCGCCACGGUAAUACGUAGGGUGCAAGCGUUAAUCGGAAUUACUGGGCGUAAAGCGUGCGCAGGCGGUUAUAUAAGUCAGAUGUGAAAUCCCCGGGCUCAACCUGGGAACUGCAUUUGAGACUGUAUGGCUAGAGUGUGUCAGAGGGGGGUAGAAUUCCACGUGUAGCAGUGAAAUGCGUAGAUAUGUGGAGGAAUACCGAUGGCGAAGGCAGCUCCCUGGGCCAAUACUGACGCUCAUGCACGAAAGCGUGGGGAGCAAACAGGAUUAGAUACCCGGGUAGUCCCUGUCUCUUAUAC
rnacentral:rRNA from 1 species